UGUUUUUGUACAACAAUGCUUAGAGUUUCUCGGAGAAUAUAGGCCUUUAAAAGCCAUUUCCAGGGGUAUAUGUAAACUUCCUGGGGUAUUUUUUAAAUAGCUACGGUAUUCGUCCACUUUCUGGGGUAUUGUUCCCUUUCUGGGGUAUUUUUCCAUGGAAAUCUCGUUGUGUUCGUGUCGACAUCCUAUUUUUUUGUUGUAGGCUUCAGCGACCAGUAGCCCCUGCAUGAGGGCUACAUAUUCUUCCUGCUUAGUUAUUUGUUAAAGAGGCAUUGCUGAACACCACGUGUCUCCUCUAACAAACUGAAAUGUGCCACCUCUUCAAAGCGUUCCAGGAAGACUUCGAUAAUUUUAAUUUUGUUACCAAAGUUCCCCAUGGGCGUAUAGGGUAGACCGUUCGACAGACCUUGACUUGAGACAGGCGAGAUUUGGAAUCUAACUAAGGAGCGGCUAGACAUCUUUCUCCCUUUGCUAUCCUUUCCAAGUCAAUUAUUUUUCAGUCUCACUCGCUAUUAUUUUCCUUUCCUUCUAGGAUUCUAGCUAUCUAUUGUUCAUUUAUCUUAUUCAUCUGUACAUUUUUCUUCGCGUUUAGCCUUCUCUGCAUUCUCGUUAUUUAUGUCAGCUGGAAGGUCCUUGAUAUCUAUUUUUAGUUUUCAUUUAGCAGUGAAGAGAGUGUGGCUGGAAAUAGGGAACGGAGAAUGACAUAGAAAUGGGAAAGGGAGAUAAGGAAGGGACAUAGAAUGUAUCAUGUAAUGAAAUAUAUCAGAUACCAAGUUGUAGUUGCUUUAAAACGAGAAGUGUCAGGGAGGGAAAAUGUACACUGAAUAGGGGAAGGGUAUUCCUCUCAGCCUACGAGUGAAUGACUCCGCAUUGGUUAAUUAGCGCUCAACGGAAAAGUUAGGAUAGCGGGCGGGGGGGGGGGGGGGGUAUGUGGAGACAGGAAAGGUGAAGGAGAUAGAUGGGAGGCAGUAGGAAGUUUCAACCAGAACAGAAUGAUGUCUGUUUGAACAGGUGAAACUGACUACUGGGAAGAAACGACACUCGACUCAGAAGAAAUCUUUGACCACGCAGGCUCUUAGAGAUGUGAAAACAUGACCACUAUGCUAGAUCACUAAAAGUCUCCUGUGGUCAGCGGGACGUCCCUUUGUUCCUUAUCGGCUUAUCAGUGAAGUUUCGUUGUAUGUCUUCAUUAAUUUUGAGAGUAACGUCACUUUUAGGCAAGGCAUUUAAGUUGAAUGUGACACGGAGAAUGGGAUGUUGAAAAAUUUGAUUGUUCAAGAAAAUUUAAGCGGCCGAGUGGUUCGAAUAGUCAGGCGGUUUAAGUUCAAAACCAAACUCAAGCAAAACUUUUUUUUUUAUUAUUAUCUGCAUUUGUAACGAAUUCACGAAAUGCGCAUUUUUCCUUCUUAUAGCCUGGGCCCAAUGCGCUAGGGUUAAAUGUCUUUUGUUGAUCAGUUGCCCAGUGAGCUAGGGUUAAACGUCUUUUGUUGGUCAGUUGGGGGAGCUGGUAUAUGACAAAAGAUUUUCACGCUCAAACUCAACUCUGCUGGAUUCGUGUUUCGAACCCGAGCUUGGAGCAUUGAUUUAUUCCUCUCAACAAAUAGGAGAGGAGGGCGUGGCUGGAUUCGUAACCUGAGGUCCUGGGUUCAAAUCUCGGUGAAGACUGGGAUUUUCAAUUUCGGGAUUCCUAGGGCAAACGCUGAGUACACCCAAUUCUAAUGGUUAGCUGACUUUAGUUGGCGAAAGUAAAGGUGGAUGAUAGCUGUGCUGGCCACAUGCCACCCUGCUCGUUAAACCUUUGGCCAGGAAAAAGAACACCUUAUCAUCUGCCCUAUUGAUAGCAAGAUAUGAAAGAGCUUCUCACUUGCUUACCAAUCAUUAAACGACGACAUAUAAAGCUCAGGUAGGGAAGGGAACUUGUAUUAAUGACAUAGCGCUUUUAGUAAUCAUGUUUUUACUGCAGGACUUAGUAUAACAUAAGACAAACGAGAUAAACAUAAUGUACAGCUUUUAUCAGAUAAAAAUUUAAUUUUGCUUAUCCUAAAAUCUGUUCGUUCAAAGUUGACAUGUCGCCAAUUAUCUAGUCAAUUUAAUACCAAACCUUUGUUCUUUAAGUACAUAGCUUAUAGUAACUCAAUAGUACGUAUGGUCUGUCUGGUAGAACGUUGUUUUUUUUGUCUCCCAUUACCGAUUAAGUUCAAAGUUUCUAUAUUUAUUCGUGGUCGAUGACAACAUACUAUGACAAUGAAUUAGUUAGUGGUAAUGAAUUGUAUUUAUUUUAUUUACAAAAAGGAACUACAACCACAAUCUCUAAAUACAAAAACAAAUCGUGAUAAAAAUACUCAGAAAGACACAAGGAUAAAGGCGCAUUCCUGUUCCAUAUGCUAGUACAAAUAUGUACUGAUUCUCUUUCUUCCCUUUUAGAGCAUGGAAUGGGUUGCCUGAGUCAGCCAGUAAAAACCUUGGACUUGGGAAAAUUUAAAUCAUUGAUUGAUUUUCAUAAACAGAUUAGCCUAGGAACACGCGGAGGACGUAAUCAUCUUUUUUUGAAGUAAUGUCUGAUAACAUAAGAUAAGAUAAGAUAAUGGGAAAGAUGCUUUUUGACUCAACAGCAAGAUAGCUAACUUUACAGGACCUACAAUUGUUACCUAUUUGCCAGCGGGUAAUGACACAAAUAUAUCUACUACAAAGCUUAUAUCAACUCACUGUGUCCUCUCUCUAUCUGGUAAAGUGUGUGUAUAGGUAAUUUCUACCACAACCCUUCUCGGAUCAAGUUCAAACUUCGCACAAUGAUUCAAUGGCGUAGCAACACAUGAAUUAAAAAAAAACUAUUGGUAAUUAAUUAUUCUUUUUUUUUUUUGAUACAGCUUGUCAGAGCCUGAGAUACUGUUGACCCCAAACUGUCUCGGCACUUGCAGUUCAUUUGGCAUUCAUCUUGUUACCAGGAGAUGAUCCAUGGUCGUCUCGCGACUGGAGGCCAUACAGUAAAAGAAUUAGAUUGACGAGAGUCAAUGACUCUCAGAGAUGGAGAAUCAGAGAGUCAGAGACUGAAAUUUAAAGAGUCUGAUAUUCAGAUCGUCUUACGUAAAAAUAAUACAAUUUCAAUUGACACUAAAUCGAACGUCACUGUUGCCAGAUUAAUAAAAAAAAAAGAAUUUAGCUAAAGUCUUAACAACAUCUGGGAAUCAAAGAGUUUAAUCCUGAGUUCUAGAAUGUCCGAGAAAAAACAACAGUUUAAUUGUGAGAUCGAGAGAGUCAGAGAAACUUAGGUUUUAAUUCUGAGAUUUGUAGAUUCUGAGAAAGAAUUCUGUUCUGAGAUUCAGAGAGUCUUUUAAAAUGUAAUUGGAAGCUACCAUCUUAGCUUUCAUCUUAAAAUCAGCCCCGAGAUCCCAGGGAAUGAGUUUAACUGACAUGUAUAAGUUAAACAAGAGGGAUAGAAAGAUACAGCAUUCAACAAUGUUUCGUAGUGUGUGUGUAUGUGUGUUUGUUGACGUCAUCUUUAAUUUUACUAAAUAAAUUCCAUAGAGAAAUAAAAAAAACAACUUUACAUCUAAAGAAUCGAAACGUGACCUUUGAUCUUUGAAAAGAUUUAGACGCAUGGAAUAAAUUCGUUGUGUAAGAUUUUAAAAUAACAAUGUCAAGGUUUUUUUUUCUCUUUUUUCUCAUCCACAUUAACUCAUUUACUCUUGACUUUAUGUGCAAACAUUCAGCAUUUGUAUAGUGAAAAAAUCCAUUGAACGGCAGCGUUAGCAGCAAAGGGUUAACAUGUCCAACAAACAGUUGUAUGUUUUUGUAAAGCUAAUUACUUGCUUUACAUACAGGCCUACACGCAUAGACACACAUACACAAAUAAAUAAUCUAAUUCUCAUUAUCUCUGUCUCUCCAGCGUAACUAAUAACACACACACACACACACGUCCAGUCACACACACAAACAUACUAAUAAAAGUAACAUAUAACGAGGUCUGAAGCAGAGAUGAAACUUGCAGAUCCUUAUCGCAAAUUCUACACCAGAUCGACGAGUUCUAGGCUCGAGACGCUUCGAAAAUGAAUCACUUAUUGACCUUCGCCCUGCUCGGUAUGCUUGUCGCCCUUGUGGCCGCCCAGACCACUGCCCCGUUGACCGAGGCCGAGAAGAGAGCUUACGUCAUGUGCGUCAUAGAGCACAACCUGUCGUCCGCUUCCUGCAAGAACAUAGCCAAGAGCCAGGCCGCCAACAACAACGAGGCCACUGCCUGUAGCACACUGGAGACCUUCAAGCUCACCCUCAGCCUCUUUGGCUGCACCCAGGCUGACUACGAUCUCCUACAUAAAAUCCUUUGUGAGAAGCAGCACGUUGUUGUCUGUCCUUAGUACUUAACAUCAUUAGUAAAGUUUAUCGUUAAUUAACAACCGA